UACGAAGGGUGCAAGCGUUACUCGGAGUUACUGGGCGUAAAGCGUGCGUAGGUGGUGAGUUAAGUCUGUCGUGAAAGCCCCGGGCUCAACCUGGGAAUGGCGAUGGAUACUGGCUCGCUAGAGUGCGGUAGAGGAGAGUGGAAUUCCCGGUGUAGCAGUGAAAUGCGUAGAGAUCGGGAGGAACAUCAGUUGCGAAGGCGGCACUCUGGGCCGGUACUGACGCUGAGGAGCGAAAGCGUGGGGAGCGAACAGG
rnacentral:rRNA from 1 species